rnacentral:piRNA from 1 species
UGGACAUGGAAGUGGUCAGUUGGGGG